GGUCAGCUUCGCAAGGCCUGACCAUGCACAGGCGGCUCUGCUUCUCUAGCCUGCAGGAGGCGUUGUCAUUGGUAACCCGGGUGGAGAUGCCCAUCCCACAGGUCUUGGAACAGGCGCUCCACUCUGUGGUCUGGACCAGGCAGUUGGCUCUAAUCAUAGUUGGGUCUGGGCCAAACGUGUCUUCCAGUCGGUAAGCUGCGAGAGCAGAGCACACAAACACCGCUUUUAUACGCUCCGGGCGGCCGCGGCUCGCCAAUGAGCUGAAUGGAGUCCUACACAAACAGGGACAUUCCUCGCAUUCCUCCCCACCUUCCUGCCUCAUCAACUCACACCGGAUUGAUCCUGACCCCUUGACACUCAGCAUUCCUCCGUCUGAAAAAGCUGGCACACUCAUUGUUAUUUAAUGUCCUUUCCAAGCAUUCCUCAAAAAGAAGAGGCCUAAGAGUUCCUAUUUAAAGAAGGAACAUUCCAAGUUAA
rnacentral:lncRNA from 1 species